AACAAUCGGAAAAUUGACAAUUUGGAAAAUGAAAUGAAGGAGCAAAGCGAGUGGACUUUUCCUUUAGAAAUCUGCUACAACCAGCUGAACUUCUCAUGCACCUGCUUCUCUGAGGGGCAACACAACGAAGCGUUCUGCACCACGGACUGCAGCAGGAAAGAAAAAGGUGUAGGUGAUCAACAAGAGAUGAAGAAUGACCCUACAAAGUCUGCUAACGACAACGGUACAAACUUUAUUGUUUCUUCAAAAUAACAUGAUAAUUUAAUAUGUAAAAAUGUAUCGGGAAAACCAAAAGACAAAACUGAGAGAUAUGUAUAUGUAGUCAGAAGAUUGCCUCAAGAA